AGAAACUGAUUUUUAAAAGAAAUUUCUGAAACUCACAGACUGAAAUGAGAUUAUGCAAUUAUAGGUAGGCUGAUAUCUUUAAUUAUGUACAAUGUCAGGUGUUUUUGUCCUAUAAAUUUUGACAUGCUCUGUUGACUCAAUUAUAUCUCUCUUUUGGGAACACAUACUGAAAAAAAUGGCAACAAUUUUUUCCAAAUACACUGUGUUCAUUCCAGAGGAAAAGAAAAAGUGGAUGUUCCUAAGGAAUCAUAUUUUUGUUUGUUUGUUUUGGUUUGGUUUUGUUUUUCUUGAGAUGGAGUUUCACUCUUGUUGCCCAGGCUGGAGUGCAAUGGCACGAUCUCGGCUCACUGCAAUCUCCGCCUCCUGGGUUCAAGCAAUUCUUCUGCCUCAGCCUCCCGAGCAGCUGCGAUUACAGGCCUGUGCCACCAUGCCCGGCUAAUUUUGUUUUGUUUUGUUUUGUUUUUGGUCUUUUUAAUUGAGAUGGAGUUUCACCAUGUUGGACAGGCUUGUCGCGAACUUCUGACCUCAGGUGAUCCACCUGCCUCGGCCUCCCAAAGUACUGGGAUUACAGGCGUGAGCCACUGCGCCCAGCCACAAUCAUGGUUUGUUGGCAAUAGAACAAACUCCUAUUUAAUGCCAUACUUUUACAAAUGAGGAUGAUGUCAUAACUAGCUAACAAUAGAGGUGAGAUGGAACAGUGAGUUCUAAACCACUGCUCUUUUUAUCAGAUAACUCUCUAUAACCCAAGAUGUCACUGCUCUAGAUUUUAAACAUAUGCAGUAUGAAGAAAACCAGUAAUUUGAGUUUCUCCAUUUCAAUUCACAAAGUUUAUUAGUGUUUUCUUUGGAGCUGUAAAAACGUGCAGGCAUGACAGUUAGUAUUGAGAAUGUGUGUGUGUGUGUGUGUUCAUGCACAUGUGUGUAUGUAUAUGUUUAAGAGAGAAAGCAAGAGGCACAAAGAAGGAUUUGGCUGGGGACCUAGGUUAAGUGUUGGCAAGGUGACUUACAAGGAAAUUCACAUUGUUUUCAUGCCUGCUAACACCACAUCCACUGUGCAGCUGAUGGUUCAAGAAGUAAUUUCCACUUUCAAGUUUUAUUAUUAGUAGUAUUUUUCGAGACAGGGUCUCACUCUGCUGCCCAGGCUGGAGUGCACUUGCAGUCUCGUGGCUUACUGCAGCCUCAAACUCCCAGGCUCAGGCAAUCUUCUCACCUCAGCCUCCUGAGUAGCUGGGACUACAGGCCCUGCUCCAACACACCUGGCGAAUUUUUGUAUUUUCUGUA
rnacentral:lncRNA from 1 species